rnacentral:rRNA from 1 species
AUGAACGCUGGCGGCGUGCUUAACACAUGCCAGUCGAACGGAAAGGCCGAAGCUUGCUUCGGUACUCGAGUGGCGAACGGGUGAGUAACACGUGGGUGAUCUGCCCUGUACUUCGGGAUAAGCUUGGGAAACUGGGUCUAAUACCGGAUAUGACGAUCUCUUGGAUGGGGUUGUGGAAAGCUUUUGCGGUAUGGGAUGAGCUCGCGGCCUAUCAGCUUGUUGGUGGGGUAAUGGCCUACCAAGGCGUCGACGGGUAGCCGGCCUGAGAGGGUGUACGGCCACAUUGGGACUGAGAUACGGCCCAGACUCCUACGGGAGGCAGCAGUGGGGAAUAUUGCACAAUGGGCGCAAGCCUGAUGCAGCGACGCCGCGUGGGGGAUGACGGCCUUCGGGUUGUAAACUCCUUUCGCAAUCGACGAAGCCUUUUGGUGACGGUAGGUUGAGAAGAAGCACCGGCUAACUACGUG